rnacentral:rRNA from 1 species
UACGAAGGGUGCAAGCGUUACUCGGAAUUACUGGGCGUAAAGCGUGCGUAGGUGGUUCGUUAAGUCUGAUGUGAAGGCCCUGGGCUCAACCUGGGAAUGGCAUUGGAAACUGGCGACCUAGAGUGCGGUAGAGGGUAGUGGAAUUCCCGGUGUAGCAGUGAAAUGCGUAGAGAUCGGGAGGAACAUCCGUGGCGAAGGCGACUACCUGGACCAGCACUGACACUGAGGCACGAAAGCGUGGGGAGCAAACAGG